AGUUUAGUGGUAAAACCACAGCCUUCCAAGCUGUUGUCGCGAGUUCGAUUCUCGUC
rnacentral:tRNA from 1 species